rnacentral:rRNA from 1 species
AUCGAACGCUGGCGGCAGGCUUAACACAUGCAAGUCGAGCGAGCGGCGGACGGGUGAGUAAUGUCUGGGAAAUUGCCUGCUGGAGGGGGAUAACUACUGGAAACGGUAGCUAAUAACGCAUACCAUCAGAUGUGCACAGAUGGGAUUAGCUAGUAGGUGGGGUAAUGGCUCACCUAGGCGACGAUCCCUAGCUGGUCUGAGAGGAUGACCAGCCACACUGGAACAGAGGCACGGUCCAGACGCCUACGGUAGGCAGCGGGGGGGAAGAUUGCGCAAUGGGCGCAAGCCUGAUGCAGCCAUGCCGCGUGUGUGAAGAAGGCCUUCGGGUUGUAAAGCACUUUCAGCGAGGAGGCGUUACUCGCAGAAGAAGCACCGGCUAACUCCGUGCCAGCAGCCGCGGUAAUAC